rnacentral:rRNA from 1 species
GCCUACGGGACGCAGCAGUGGGGAAUAUUGGGCAAUGGGCGCAAGCCUGACCCAGCAACGCCGCGUGAAGGAAGAAGGCUUUCGAGUUGUAAACUUCUUUUCUCAGGGACGAAGAAAGUGACGGUACCUGAAGAAUAAGCCACGGCUAACUACGUGCCAGCAGCCGCGGUAAUACGUAGGUGGCAAGCGUUAUCCGGAUUUAUUGGGUGUAAAGGGCGUGUAGGCGGGAACGCAAGUCAGAUGUGAAAACUCAGGGCU